rnacentral:snoRNA from 2 species
ACCAAUUCUGGAGGAUUAUUUCGUUUCUCUCGGUAUAAUGGCUCGGACGCGACAUGCUAUUCUUGUGGUUAUAUCCUGAUUGGUGGCGUUUUUGUGCCAAUCCAAUCCUGGAAAGGCCACAUAAAUUC